UACGUAGGGUGCGAGCGUUAAUCGGAAUUACUGGGCGUAAAGCGUGCGCAGGCGGUUGUGCAAGACCGAUGUGAAAUCCCCGGGCUCAACCUGGGAAUGGCAUUGGUGACUGCACGGCUAGAGUGUGUCAGAGGGGGGGUAGAAUUCCACGUGUAGCAGUGAAAUGCGUAGAUAUCAAGUGGAACACCAGUGGCGAAGGCGAGUCCCUGGACAUUUCCUGACACUGAGGCACGAAAGCUAGGGGAGCAAACAGG
rnacentral:rRNA from 1 species